GGGCCCGCACAAGCGGUGGAGCAUGUGGUUUAAUUCGACGCAACGCGAAGAACCUUACCUAGGCUCGAACGGCUUUAGAAGAUCGGCAGAAACGUCGGUCGUUCCGCAAGGAACUGGAGUCGAGGUGCUGCAUGGCUGUCGUCAGCUCGUGUCGUGAGAUGUUGGGUUAAGUCCCGCAACGAGCGCAACCCUUGUCCUGUGUUGCCAUCAUUAAGUUGGGCACUCUCAGGAGACCGCCAGUGAUAAACUGGAGGAAGGUGGGGACGACGUCAAGUCAUCAUGGCCUUUAUGUCUAGGGCUACACACGUGCUACAAUGGUCGGUACAAUGCGCUGCAAACCCGCGAGGGGGAGCCAAUCGCAAAAAACCGAUCUCAGUUCGGAUUGCAGGCUGCAACUCGCCUGCAUGAAGCUGGAAUCGCUAGUAAUGGCAUAUCAGAAUGAUGCCGUGAAUACGUUCCCGGGCCUU
rnacentral:rRNA from 1 species